rnacentral:sRNA from 2 species
GCUUCCGUCAAUUUGGGGAGUAGCCGGCGUUCUUGCUGAUUAAUAUUCAGUUUUUGAACGCGCUCGUGUCAACAUACUCGUUCCUAGCAUGGAACGUGGUGCGAGCAGCCCGCUUGCUGAUUAUCAGCAUUUAAGCGCGGACAGGCGAGACCAUAGACACGUAGCUCCGUCGUAUGGUUGGGGGUGGGCUGCGUGUAUAUGGAACACCCGGCCGAG